CAGGGAGACAACAAAAUGUUAAUAUUAUUAUUUUGUCACCUUAGGUCGAUCGGUAUUCAGUUCUUAAUUAUUAAGAAUUCAUUUCCUAAAGUUUUUUAGGUCACACCAUUAUUUUUCCUGGGCCAUUAGCUCAGGUGGUUAGAGCGCACCCCUGAUAAGGGUGAGGUCCCUGGUUCAAGUCCAGGAUGGCCCAUAUCUCUAUGUUGGGGGUAUAGCUCAGUUGGUAGAGCGCCUGCUUUGCAAGCAGGAUGUCAGCGGUUCGAGUCCGCUUACCUCCACUGAUUACCACCUCUUCCAUAAUCUAUAGAAAGGAAAUAUUUUGAGUUGUGAUCAAUUCUGAAGAUUCAGCCUUCCUAAUGUAAUCAUUAAGAUGCUGGAUUCAUUGAAUUAAUUUCAUUGUUUUCAGAGAACCUUGACAACUGCAUAGAUUAUUUUUAAAGACAAUAAGCAUCUUUAAUGAUGCAGAUUUAUUAUUUGUGCGAAUGCAUUAAUAACAAUUCUAUUAAGCUGAUGCUUCAA
rnacentral:tRNA from 1 species